rnacentral:rRNA from 1 species
UACGGAGGGGGCGAGCGUUGUCCGAAGUUACUGGGCGUAAAGCGCGCGUAGGCGGGUUGGUAAGUCCGCUGUGAAAGCCCGGAGCUUAACUCCGGAGGGUCGGUGGAUACUGCCAGUCUUGAAGGUGCUAGGGGGAGAUGGAAUUACCGGUGUAGCGGUGAAAUGCGUAGAUAUCGGUAGGAACACCAGUGGCGAAGGCGGUCUCCUGGGGCAUUCUUGACGCUGAGGCGCGAAAGCGUGGGGAGCAAACGGG